GUCCACGCCGUAAACGUUGGGCACUAGGUGUGGGGACCUAUCAACGGUUUCCAUGCCGUCGCUAACGCAUUAAGUGCCCCGCCUGGGGAGUACGGCCGCAAGGCUAAAACUCAAAGGAAUUGACGGGGGCCCGCACAAGCGGCGGAGCAUGUUGCUUAAUUCGAGGCAACGCGAAGAACCUUACCUGGGUUUGACAUGUAGAGAAAAGCCGUAGAGAUACGGUGUCCUUCGGGUUCGUACACAGGUGGUGCAUGGCUGUCGU
rnacentral:rRNA from 1 species